GACAGAGGGUGCAAACGUUGUUCGGAAUUACUGGGCAUAAAGCGCACGUAGGUGGUCCGCUAAGUCGCGUGUGAAAUCCCCCGGCUCAACCGGGGAAAUGCGCGUGAUACUGGCGGGCUUGAGAUCGGGAGGGGUGAAUGGAACUCCAGGUGGAGCGGUGAAAUGCGUAGAUAUCUGGAGGAACACCGGUGGCGAAAGCGGUUCACUGGCCCGACACUGACACUGAGGUGCGAAAGCGUGGGUAGCAAACAGG
rnacentral:rRNA from 1 species